UGCGGCGCUGCUCAUUGCUCCUGUUCCCGCGAAUCGCUCUCUCACCGCGACGUUUCGCGGCGAACAUUCCGCACGGACUCUGUUGCAUGCGGUCUCGGAGAAGAGUCAUUUUCACCCGCCGCCACCACCGCCGCAGUCGAGCGUCCCCGCAAUCGCAAAAAGUUUUUUUUUUUUUUUUUAGUAUUUUUCGUUUAUCUUUGUUUUAACAUCUCUAACGGUUUUUUAAAAAUAAUUUUUAUUUUCGAGCAUUUUGUCGUUUUCCGACGAUCCUCCCCCACACGUCCCUUGCCCCGACGGCUUUAGGAUGUUUCGUUCUUUUUAUACUACAUAGACACGACAUCCGUCGUCUCUCGUCUCCGCGGGGAUCGGUUCAGAUUUGCACUACAAUUUUCGGUAAAGACCAAUGUAAUUUUCAAAAUCAAUUUUGGGCAGUGCUUUAUGUGACAUUAGUAUAAAUGGAAGAAUUUUCAAGAUGAUAAGCGAUUCAAUCGGUCAGUGUCGACCGAGUGUCAACCGAGUCACCGCGGACAACUGCGAAUGAAUUCUUCGUAGUAUG